GCCGCUUUAGCUCAAUUGGCAGAGCACCUGAUUUGUAAUCAGGCGGUUCGGGGUUCGAGUCCCCGAGGCGGCUCCA
rnacentral:tRNA from 1 species